GUCCUGGGUAGCCUAGUGGACAUGGCAUCUGCCCGGUAAGCGGAACACUGUGGGUUCGAUUCCCAUCACUGGACA
rnacentral:tRNA from 1 species